UACGGGGGGGGCAAGCGUUGUUCGGAAUUACUGGGCGUAAAGGGUUCGUAGGUGGCCAACUAAGUCAGACGUGAAAUCCCUCAGCUUAACUGGGGAACUGCGUCUGAGACUGGAUGGCUUGAGUGCAGGAGAGGAACGCGGAAUUCCAGGUGUAGCGGUGAAAUUCGUAGAUAUCAGGUGGAACACCAGUGGCGAAGGCGGCUUUCUGGACGAUAACUGACGCUGAGACGCGAAAGCGUGGGGAGCAAACAGG
rnacentral:rRNA from 1 species